rnacentral:rRNA from 1 species
GACGAACGCUGGCGGCGUGCCUAAUACAUGCAAGUUGAGCGCUGAAGGUUGGUACUUGUACCAACUGGAUGAGCAGCGAACGGGUGAGUAACGCGUGGGGAAUCUGCCUUUGAGCGGGGGACAACAUUUGGAAACGAAUGCUAAUACCGCAUAAAAACUUUAAACACAAGUUUUAAGUUUGAAAGAUGCAAUUGCAUCACUCAAAGAUGAUCCCGCGUUGUAUUAGCUAGUUGGUGAGGUAAAGGCUCACCAAGGCGAUGAUACAUAGCCGACCUGAGAGGGUGAUUGGCCACAUUGGGACUGAGACACGGCCCAAACUCCUACGGGAGGCAGCAGUAGGGAAUCUUCGGAAAUGGACGAAAGUCUGACCGAGCAACGCCGCGGGGGUGAAGAAGGUUUUCGGAUCGUAAAACUUUGUUGGUAGAGAAGAACGUUGGUGAGAGUGGAAAGCUCAUCAAGUGACGGUAACUACCCAGAAAGGGACGGCUAACUACGU